rnacentral:rRNA from 1 species
GACAGAGGGUGCAAACGUUGUUCGGAAUUACUGGGCGUAAAGCGAGUGUAGGCGGUUCGAUAAGUCGGAUGUGAAAGCCCCGGGCUCAACCCGGGAAGUGCACUCGAUACUGUCGAGCUAGAGUAUCGGAGAGGUUGGUGGAAUUCUCGGUGUAGAGGUGAAAUUCGUAGAUAUCGAGAGGAACACCGGUGGCGAAGGCGGCCAACUGGGACGAAAUACUGACGCUGAGAAGCGAAAGCAUGGGGAGCGAACAGG